GAUGAACGCUGGCGAGAUGCCUUACACAUGCAAGUCGUACGAGAGUUUUUAACUCAAGUGGCGGACGGGUGAGUAACACGUAAGAAUUUGCCUUUAGGAGGGGGACAACAACUGGAAACGGUUGCUAAUACCCCAUAUGCUUUCGAGUGAAAUGGAUUUUCCGCCUAGAGAGAAGCUUGCGGCUGAUUAGCUUGUUGGUGAGGUAAUGGCUCACCAAGGCGACGAUCAGUAUCUGGUUUGAGAGGACGAUCAGACACACUGGAACUGAGACACGGUCCAGACUCCUACGGGAGGCAGCAGUGGGAAUCUUAGACAAUGGGCGCAAGCCUGAUCUAGCCAUGCCGCGUGAGUGAUGAAGGCCCUAGGGUCGUAAAGCUCUUUCGCCUGUGAAGAUAAUGACAGUAGCAGGUAAAGAAA
rnacentral:rRNA from 1 species